rnacentral:rRNA from 2 species
UACGUAGGGGGCGAGCGUUGUCCGGAAUUAUUGGGCGUAAAGCGCGCGCAGGCGGCGGGUUAAGUCUCAUGAUUAAACGCGGGGCUCAACCCCGUGUCGGAUGGGAAACUGGCCGGCUUGAGUGCAGGAGAGGGAAGCGGAAUUCCACGUGUAGCGGUGAAAUGCGUAGAGAUGUGGAGGAACACCAGUGGCGAAGGCGGCUUUCUGGCCUGUAACUGACGCUGAGGCGCGAAAGCGUGGGGAGCAAACAGG